AUUGAACGCUGGCGGCAGGCCUAACACAUGCAAGUCGAGCGGAUGACGGGAGCUUGCUCCUUGAUUCAGCGGCGGACGGGUGAGUAAUGCCUAGGAAUCUGCCUGGUAGUGGGGGACAACGUUUCGAAAGGAACGCUAAUACCGCAUACGUCCUACGGGAGAAAGCAGGGGACCUUCGGGCCUUGCGCUAUCAGAUGAGCCUAGGUCGGAUUAGCUAGUUGGUGGGGUAAUGGCGCACCAAGGCGACGAUCCGUAACUGGUCUGAGAGGAUGAUCAGUCACACUGGAACUGAGACACGGUCCAGACUCCUACGGGAGGCAGCAGUGGGGAACAUUGGACAAUGGGCGAAAGCCUGAUCCAGCCAUGCCGCGUGUGUGAAGAAGGUCUUCGGAUUGUAAAGCACUUUAAGUUGGGAGGAAGGGCAGUAAGUUAAUACCUUGCUGUUUUGACGUUACCGACAGAAUAAGCACCGGCUAACUCUGUGCCAGCCGCCGCAGUAACAC
rnacentral:rRNA from 1 species